GACCAUUCUGGCCAACACAACUGCGAUUCCUCCCCGAAAACACUGUCAAAUUUCAACAGCAUGUCGCAGUAGUGCGGACAGGAAAUAUCUGCCUGAUUGGAAAGAUUAGUGAAGCCUCUGCCAGCUGUUGAAGAAACGUGUGAAGAUGCAAGAAGCAUACACACAAGGACAUUGACCAGGGAGUGGAUGUGCUAUACUAGACAAUUUGCUACAACAGUUACAGGGAUUCUCAUGGGACUGAGAUGAUCUCUGUUGCACUCAAGUUUUUUUUCAAAAUCUGGAAGAGGCAGCACACUCUUUUCCACGGGUGGUGCCAUUUUUGCUGGACGAGUUGAGAAAUGAAUGGGUUUCUCCUUUCUUUAUAUGUCAUUUGAUUCAUGGUAUUGCUCUGUGAUUGCAGAAAAUGCUAAAUUAACAGCAUUGUGAUGUUGAAUUUUGGUGCAUUCAGUGCUAUUUUCCAUCUGGCUAUACAAUUA